rnacentral:rRNA from 1 species
AACGAACGCUGGCGGCAUGCCUAACACAUGCAAGUCGAACGAGACCUUCGGGUCUAGUGGCGCACGGGUGCGUAACGCGUGGGAAUCUACCCUUGGGUUCGGAAUAACAGUUAGAAAUGACUGCUAAUACCGGAUGAUGACGUAAGUCCAAAGACUUAUCGCCCAAGGAUGAGCCCGCGUAAGAUUAGCUUGUUGGUGGGGUAAUGGCCUACCAUGGCGACGAUCUUUAGCUGGUCUGAGAGGAUGAUCAGCCACACUGGGACUGAGACACGGCCCAGACUCCUACGGGAGGCAGCAGUGGGGAAUAUUGGACAAUGGGCGAAAGCCUGAUCCAGCAAUGCCGCGUGGAGGAUGACGGCCUUUGGGUUGUAAACUCCUUUCGGUGGUGACGAUAAUGACGGUAGCCACAGAAGAAGCACCGGCUAACUACGUGCCAGCCGCCGCCGUAA